GACGAGGGGUGCAAGCGUUAUUCGGAUUGAUUGGGCGUAAAGGGUGCGCAGGUGGUAAGUUAAGUCAACUGUUAAAUUUCUCGGCCUAACCGGGAGCAUGCAGUAGAUACUGGCUUGCUAGAGAUUGGAAGAGGGAAGUGGAAUUCUCGGAGUAGCGGUAAAAUGCGUAGAUCUCGAGAGGAACACCGAUGGCGAAGGCAGCUUCCUGGUCCAUUUCUGACACUCAUGCACGAAAGCGCGGGGAGCAAACAGG
rnacentral:rRNA from 1 species